CGCGUAGGCGGCUCGUGAAGUCGGGUGUGAAAGCCCGGGGCUCAACCCCGGAACGGCAUCCGAUACUGGCGGGCUUGAGACCGGGAGAGGAGGGUGGAAUACCCAGUGUAGAGGUGAAAUUCGUAGAUAUUGGGUGGAACACCGGUGGCGAAAGCGGCUCUCUGGCCCGGAUCUGACGCUGAGGCGCGAAAGCGUGGGGAGGCAAAACGG
rnacentral:rRNA from 1 species